CANACCUCUGAUCANAAAAGACUACCCGCUGAGUUUAAGCAUAUCACUAAGCGGAGGAGAAGAAACUAACCAGGAUUUCCCUAGUAAUGGCGAACGACCGGAAAGAGCCCAGCUUGAAAAUUUCGGCGCUUCGCGCCGAAAGUU
rnacentral:rRNA from 1 species